AGUGAACGCUGGCGGUAGGCCUAACACAUGCAAGUCGAACGGCAGCACAGUAAGAGCUUGCUCUUACGGGUGGCGAGUGGCGGACGGGUGAGGAAUACAUCGGAAUCUACUUUUUCGUGGGGGAUAACGUAGGGAAACUUACGCUAAUACCGCAUACGACCUACGGGUGAAAGCAGGGGAUCUUCGGACCUUGCGCGAUUGAAUGAGCCGAUGUCGGAUUAGCUAGUUGGCGGGGUAAAGGCCCACCAAGGCGACGAUCCGUAGCUGGUCUGAGAGGAUGAUCAGCCAAACUGGAACUGAGACACGGUCCAGACUCCUACGGGAGGCAGCAGUGGGGAAUAUUGGACAAUGGGCGCAAGCCCGAUCCAGCCAUACCGCGUGGGUGAAGAAGGCCUUCGUGUUGUAAAGCCCUUUUGUUGGGAAAGAAAAGCAGCAGGUUAAUACCCCGCUGUUCUGACGGUACCCAAAGAAUAAGCACCGGCUAACUUCGUG
rnacentral:rRNA from 1 species